rnacentral:lncRNA from 1 species
AAAACUGGUUUUUUAGGAUAGAUUCAAAUAAUUAUAAUCCCAUGAUAGAUCUCCUUAUGUAAUUUUGAGGUCCCUGUAAUUUUGUGGGAGAAAAAAAUGAACAUAAAAGUGAUGACAGUUUGGGGUUUUUUUGUGAUACACAAGUGACUUGGAGUACAAGAGGUUGUUGAAGUGUGAUGCUUGAAAUGCACAGUCAGGAUGUGAAGGUGAUGGCCAUCACUGAUCAUCUCUGAUGGUGGCUCCCCAAAAUCUAGAGUGUGAUUGGUUUCAUUUACAUGGGUGAAAGAAGACAUGGAUGUUUCACAUCCAUGGUAUCCCAAAGGCCAGAGGAAAGACUGAAUCUCCUUCUCUAUAAGUUACUAAAACUCUGCCAGAAAAGAUGGCUCUUCAACAAUUGGCAGAAAGGAAAAAAAAGGAGAAGGCCAAUCUAACCUCCUGAGGGAUAGCAUUCCACAUCCAGAGAGCCACCACAGAGAAGGACCUAUCCUGUGUCAGGCAGACACUAAACACAUCAAGAGCUGUGGUACUCAACACUCUGAGUUCAGGGUUAAACCAUUCCUGCUCUCCAAAUUCUAAAUAUGUAUAGGCAGUAUUUAUGAUUCCUCCUCACUCUCUAGGUUCCUUUUGCCCUCUGAGCACCUUGUACUUUCAGGGAUGAAGCUCACUAUAAACAUACCAGGGUUCCCAUGGUAACACUUUGUGGCUCCAUCUUGAGUCACAAUGGAAAGCUUAGCUAUAAAGAGGCUGGCACUCAGGCACAUGGCCCAAAGGACUUGGGGCUGGCCCAGCCCACAGAUGGUGCUCCAGCAACUCUCCCAUAACUGGCACGCCUGAUCUGCCAAAACAAAAUGGCGCGAUUCCAUCGCAGUAGAAGCGAGAGUAAUAGCAGACAGUGCCGCUGGAUGAGGAAAAGGGGACGCCGUGGGGGUAGCUCGGGACGGCGGCGAAGGGGAAAGAGGAGAGGAAGAAGUGGCAGAAAGAAAGGCAGAGGCCGCAGAGGAAGGAGAAGGAGAAGAAGACAUUAAACUUCAAAGGCAAAAGCUGUUGCCCUGUUCAGUCUCUGCUUUACAACACUGAAAUUCAUCUCGUCCAGUGACCUCUUAGACGACACCCUUCUUCUAACAAGAUGCCAGCAACUUACUUGAGAGUGAACAGUGUCCAUCUGUCAAUAAAGUGAAAUACCACCACUAUCGCCA